GGAAUUUUGGGCAAUGGGCGAAAGCCUGACCCAGCAACGCCGCGUGAAGGAUGAAGUCUCUCGGGAUGUAAACUUCGAAAUUAUAGGAAGAAUCAAUGACGGUACUAUAAAUAAGCUCCGGCUAACUACGUGCCAGCAGCCGCGGUAAUCCGUAGGGGGCAAGCGUUGUUCGGAUUUACUGGGCGUAAAGGGUGCGUAGGCGGCGUGACAAGUCACUUGUGAAAUCUCCGGGCUUAACUCGGAACGGCCAAGUGAUACUGUUGUGCUAGAGUGCAGAAUGGGCAAGUGGAAUUCUUGGUGUAGCGGUGAAAUGCGUAGAUAUCAAGAGGAACACCUGAGGCGAAGGCGACUUGCUGGGCUGACACUGACGCUGAGGCACGAAAGCCAGGGGAGCGAAC
rnacentral:rRNA from 1 species